rnacentral:rRNA from 1 species
UACGUAGGGUCCGAGCGUUGUCCGGAUUUAUUGGGCGUAAAGAGCUCGUAGGCGGCUCGGUAAGUCGGAUGUGAAAACUCGGGGCUCAACCCCGAGACGCCAUCCGAUACUGCCGUGGCUUGAGUCUGGUAGGGGAACACGGAAUUCCUGGUGUAGCGGUGAAAUGCGCAGAUAUCAGGAGGAACACCAAUGGCGAAGGCAGUGUUCUGGGCCAGUACUGACGCUGAGGAGCGAAAGCGUGGGUAGCAAACAGG